UUUCUGACCUGGAGGGUACACCAAGUGCUGGAGUAACUCAGCGGGACCGGCAGCAUCUCUGGAGAAAUAGGAUCAGGUGACGUUUCCUGUCAAGAAACCUUC